CAUGGAGGGUGAGAAUCCCGUUCGGUUAACCAAAGCGCUUUACGAUACGCUUUCAAAGAGUCAAGUUGUUUGGGAUUGCAGCUUAAAAUGGGAGGUAAAUUUCUCCUAAGGCUAAAUAUUGGCGAGAGACCGAUAGCGAACAAGUACCGUGAGGGAAAGAUGAAAAGAACUUUGAAAAGAGAGUUAAACAGUACGUGAAAUUGUUGAAAGGGAAACGAUUAAAGUCAGUCGUACCUACGAGUGAUCAACCUACUCGAGUGCGAUUUUGUGGGUAUGUUAGAGUUUAAACCUUCAUGCUUACAAAUUGGUGCUCUUUGGGCGUACUUUCUCGUAUGGUAGGUUAACAUCAAUUUCGAUCGUUAUAAAAUGACUGGAGGAAUGUAGCUUUAAUCUUGGUUGAAGUGUUAUAGCCUUUGGUAGAUGUAAUGAUUGGGAUUGAGGAUUGCAACGGAUACCCUCUGGGCUAUUCGUCUGAUCUCUGGAAGUUACCAUGGUGUCGAAAGCGUGCUUACGAUAUUAAGGUUGACGGCCAAUAGGUUAGAACGUGAUUAAAUUUGUUAAGGAUGUUGACGUAAUGG
rnacentral:rRNA from 1 species